AGUGGUUCCUGCUCCAGGUGUCCUAAGAGGAAAGCUCUCUGUGACACAGCUCUCUGUGCACAUACUUGGAGGACCUGAGGCACUUCCCCUAGGAAUGAGCACCUCCUAGGAAUAUGCACCUCUGCUGCCGUCCUUCUGUCUGGGUGCUGUUAUCCUUCCCUCCCUUGAGUGUGCGUUCCCGUACUUGGACUCCUGGUAUCAGGAGGUUGCACUUUAUCUAGCCAGGGAUGUUUGGAGAAACUAGCUCUGCCUUAACCUGGAAUCUGGGUGUUCGCGUUUAUUCACUGAUUCUUUUAGCACAUUGGAGUCUCACGCUGUGACGAACACUUUUUUGUGUGUGUGCAAUGAAAAGCAGACAUAUCAGGCUUCGGUUUUAGACUCUCACUAAGGAAAACAAAGUUCUUACUGUUAAGCUAUCCUUGUGUCAUUUAAAAGAUGUAGAAAAUGGAAGUUGUUGCUGCUAACAAAACUAAAGAGGCCCUUUCUGAUUCUGGAGGAGGUGGCUUCUGGUGGAAGUCCCAGUGGCCUCUGAUGCCCUGACAGUCACCAGAAUUCCAAGUCUUCUCAGCUAUGAGAUGCUUUAUUAUCCUGCAUCUGGCUUCCAGGAAUUCACUGGAUACCACUUCCCCACUGACGACUACAAAAUAGCCUGCUUAUAGAAAGACUGACAUAUUGAAAUAUAAUUAAGUAAAGAAAAAGAUCCUCAUCUGAAAUGUCUACAAGGUGUAUGAUGGUUAGACUCCUUAAGUUAUUGAAUAUCUGUAACCACCAUGGAUAUACCACCUUAUGGUAAUAAUUCUCUACUUACAGGUAAUAGACUGAAAGUCAAUAAAGUUAGGUCAUUUGCAUAAGGUGAAACAGGAAAAUCCAAACCCCGGCCUGUGAGAUGUCCCAGAGGGUUAAAGUGCUUACUGCCAAACUUGAUGACCUAGGUUUGAUUUCCAGUACCUGGAUGGUGGAAAGUGAAAACCGGCUCCCAUAAACUGUGCUCUAAUUAUACACAUGCCUCAUGCACAUAUGUGUAUUCACCAGUACACAUGUGCAUGUUUGAUUUAAAAAUUUAAGGGAGGACUAAGGCGAUGGCUCCAUGGUACAGAGUUCUUACUGCUCUCACAGAGAGCGACUGUGUUCCCAGCACAAAGGUUGCCUGUGGCAACUGGAUGAAGUUCCAGUUCUAAAGGUUUUGUCACCCUCUUCUGGUCUCCACAGAUACUGCUUUGUGUGAUACUAAAUAUACUUGCAGGGAAAACACACUUAAGCAUAAACUAGAAGUUAAUCUCAUUCUUUCACCAAGCUGAUUUUUAAGACGCAUGUCUUUCUGUCCUUCAGAAUUGAUAACAUGUUUAAAUUGCAUGCUGGUAAUAUGGAGAGUUCUCUAAACCUUGGGAUGUUGUGCAUAUCCCCCCACCCACCACAGAACAGUUAUGUAGUCACAAUGUAUCCAUGAAAGAGAUCAAACAUUACUUCUGACUUUAGCAUAUCUUGGAAACCUAUUAUUUGGCACAGUUCCAAGUUCAAUAUUAGUCCAUAGUGUAAUAGUUGUGUUCCGUAGUUAUUCUAAAGCUAGUGCCCAUUAGGUAUUUAUGAUGGGGGUGGGAGUGAAACCUUUGACAUAUGAGCUAUUAUAUAACAGUGGCAAAAGUUUUAUGAAUGUGCAACUGUAGUAGGUAUGCUCACAAUUUUUUUGAACAUAACAACAUAAAACAGCCCUGCAUUUAGGUACAAUUUUUAUUUUUAAAACUAGGCCUUAUGGAUGUGUCUUUAAAGUACUGUAUACUUUAAAAUCACCUGAACCAUUAGAAGCGACUUAAGAAAACCUAUUUGUGGAAUGUUCUUUGCUACUCUGAGAAGACCAAAGAUUUUGUGUGUGUGUGUUCUCUCAUGUCUAAAUAAAGUCAAUGCCACCAUGUGGCCAGCUCGAA